rnacentral:rRNA from 1 species
GGCCCACCAAGGCGACGAUCAGUAGCCGGCCUGAGAGGGUGAACGGCCACAUUGGGACUGAGACACGGCCCAAACUCCUACGGAAGGCAGCAG